AGCGAACGCUGGCGGCAGGCCUAACACAUGCAAGUCGAACGGACCCUUCGGGGUUAGUGGCGGACGGGUGAGUAACACGUGGAACGUGCCCUUUGGUUCGAAACAACACAGGGAAACUUGUGCUAAUACCGGAUAAGCCCUUCGGGGGAAAGAUUUAUUGCCAUUGGAGCGGCCCGCGUUGGAUUAGGUAGUUGGUGAGGUAAAAGCUCACCAAGCCUGCGAUCCAUAGCUGGUCUGAGAGGAUGAUCAGCCACAUUGGGACUGAGACACGGCCCAAACUCCUACGGGAGGCAGCAGUGGGGAAUCUUGCGCAAUGGGCGAAAGCCUGACGCAGCCAUGCCGCGUGAAUGAUGAAGGUCUUAGGAUUGUAAAAUUCUUUCAGCGGGGACGAUAAUGACGGUACCCGCAGAAGAAGCCCCGGCUAACUUCGUGCCAGCAGCCGCGGUAAUACGAAGGGGGCUAGCGUUGCUCGGAAUUACUGGGCGUAAAGGGAGCGUAGGCGGAUAGUUUAGUCAGAGGUGAAAGCCCAGGGCUCAACCUUGGAAAUGCCUUUGAUACUGGCUAUCUUGAGUAUGGGAGAGG
rnacentral:rRNA from 1 species